rnacentral:misc_RNA from 1 species
UGUGGGAGCGGGCUUGCUCGCGAAGGCGUCGGCACAUCCAGCAUCAAUGUGACAGAUAGACCGUCUUCGCGAGCAAGCCCGCUCCCACA